GUGCAGUGUGCCUGCAUCGGUUCAAAAACAGAGAGGGACGCAAGACCACACUCAACAAGAGCUGAUAGAAAAGUCUAAGCAAGAGAUUUUCCUGUAGUCAUGCAGUCUCAAGUUUCAGUUGUGCAGGAUGGCUAAUGAGUGGAGUGAUGAAUUUUCUGGUAGAGUGAUGCAGUUUCUCAGUGGGGUCGUUGGACUGGUGGAGUUGCUGGAGCUGGUGGGGUGGUUUGAUGAUUAGCCUGUAAGAUAGAAUUGAAUUGAAUAUUGUCUGAAAUUAGUUAUAAAUUCAUUGUCAAGUGCCAAAGUGCUAUCACAUACAAGGCCACACAUUUUCACUAAUUUUUAAAGCAGAUAUUAAUAUGAUGUAAAGCACUUGAGGCACUUGAUAUAAUAUAGACAGUUUUAUAUCAUAAAU